CCUACGGGUGGCUGCAGUGGGGAAUAUUGGACAAUGGGGGCAACCCUAAUCCAGCCAUGCCGCGUGUGUGAAGAAGGCCCUCGGGUUGUAAAGCACUUUCAGUGAGGAAGAACGCCUGGUGGUUAAUACCCAUCAGGAAAGACAUCACUCACAGAAGAAGCACCGGCUAACUCCGUGCCAGCAGCCGCGGUAAUACGGAGGGUGCGAGCGUUAAUCGGAAUUACUGGGCGUAAAGCGCGCGUAGGUGGCUUGAUAAGCCGGUUGUGAAAGCCCCGGGCUCAACCUGGGAACGGCAUCCGGAACUGUCAAGCUAGAGUGCAGGAGAGGAAGGUAGAAUUCCCGGUGUAGCGGUGAAAUGCGUAGAGAUCGGGAGGAAUACCAGUGGCGAAGGCGGCCUUCUGGACUGACACUGACACUGAGGUGCGAAAGCGUGGGUAGCAAACAGGAUUAGAUACCCCUGUAGUC
rnacentral:rRNA from 1 species